GUGGGGAAUAUUGGGCAAUGGGGGCAACCCUGACCCAGCAACGCCGCGUGAAGGAAGAAGGUCUUCGGAUCGUAAACUUCUAUCCUUGGUGAAGAUAAUGACGGUAGCCGAGAAGGAAGCCCCGGCUAACUACGUGCCAGCAGCCGCGGUAAUACGUAGGGGGCAAGCGUUGUCCGGAAUGAUUGGGCGUAAAGGGCGCGUAGGCGGCCUGGUAAGUCUGGAGUGAAAGUCCUGCUUUUAAGGUGGGAAUUGCUUUGGAUACUGUCGGGCUUGAGUGCAGGAGAGGUAAGUGGAAUUCCCGGUGUAGCGGUGAAAUGCGUAGAGAUCGGGAGGAACACCAGUGGCGAAGGCGACUUACUGGACUGUAACUGACGCUGAGGCGCGAAAGUGUGGGGAGCAAACAGGAUUAGAAACCCGAGUAGUCC
rnacentral:rRNA from 1 species